CUUUUUUCUUGGGAGUGUUUACUUUAGAAAACUAAACUUGUAAUUUUAAGUACUUUCUCCUCUUUUUGAAAUGCAUGUAUAUCAUUUUGAAAGCUAAUUAGGAUCUUUGUCAGUUUUAUGACCCAGGAAUGUCUUUUCUCAAGCAUCUGGAAGCCAUCUCUUUGAAAUGUAAACAAUAAGGGAGGUAACAACCCCAGAUUCCAGCUACUAUGGGAAGAUAAGGGGCUAACCUAGGUGGACAUAUUACUCUAAGUAGUGGAGUACUUCCUGUUGUAAAGAUAUACAUUAGUUUUUCCUCUGAAUAAGUCCAAUUAGCUAAUGCAGAUUAUCACCUCAAUUACCAGACUGACUUUAGGAUGAACUAUGACAAAUGAUGCCGUCAGAUCUACUUUCUGAAAAAUUAGUAGUUAUCGUUUAUUUUGAAAAUAUGUAUGUAAUGACUUGGGUCUGCUUGGCUAUAUAAAAGGCUGAGGUUUUUUUGUGUUUGCAAUCUCUUAGCAGAUUGUCUGUACUGAACAUCACAUUCUGAUUUAAAUUUAUUCAAUAAUAAAACUGUUUUCUUUCUCUACUACCUUUUUGGAAAGAAUUUUUGAGUUGGGUGGAAGUAGUGACUAUAUGAAGCAACUAACACUGAAGGACCAGAAAAGAAUAACGACAAUAUUAAAGAAAACAGCAAUCUUGGAGUCCAGUUAUAUUUUAAUAAAAGAUUUGUUCUCUACCAAUGCCCUACACUGCUAACAGGAAACUGCCUUCUGGAUUUGUGGGAAGUUCACCAGCAGGAAGCGCCAGUGGAAAUUGGGAGGGUGGCUAUAGCUGAUUUCAGCUGUUCUUCAGUUAGUUUCCUGGCUGCUCACAAAGAUUUUCCUGCAUGCCACUGCUCUCCAGGAAUCUACCAACAUUCACGUAGACUUCUCAAUGAAUGGCACGGAAAGUUUCUUCUUAAGGCACCUUCAAAUUCAGAGAAUUAUUCUGGAUUUUUGGACUUUUUUCUCCCUCAACGUGGAUUAAAUGUUGGACUUUUCUCACUCAACUUGGAUUGAAUGUUGACAUAGAGAUCUAACAGCAAGUGAACUAAUGCUGAUUCAAAGACACCAAGAGAGGGGGCGAAAUGGAAGGUGUGAAAUCACAGAAACCAAGGGUAAGCAAAAGCAUAUGAGGGAGGAAAAGUUUCAGUAUUCUUUGGCAGGCUGACAACUCACAAUUACAAUGUUCCUUCUUUCUCCUCCUAUUUAGUACUCAUUCUAAGGAAGGAUUGGGCCACCUCUAAAUCAUUUUAAGAGAAAGACUAGUCCCAGAUUUCUAUAGUAUAGUUUUCUAUAGAUUGUGAAUUUGUAUCUAGGCAUGAGAAAAGUCUCACUUGAUAUCAUGCUACAUUUCCAGGAAUGAAGAACUGCAAAUAAAUAAGCCAUCACUUGAUAUCCUGCUACAUCUCCAGGAAUAAAAAGCUGGAAAUAAAUAAGCCGUAAGUAGAGAAAUGGUUAAACAAAUUCCAGUGUUUCAAUGCUAUGAAAUACUAUUCAACAGUUAACAAGUCUGAGGAAGAAACAUGUAUACUUACAUGGAAGAAUAACU
rnacentral:lncRNA from 1 species